GAGGGUAUAGCUCAGUGUCUGGAGUGAGUGCUUAGCACGCAUGAGGUCAUGGGUUCAAUCCCCUGUACCUCCA
rnacentral:tRNA from 1 species